CUUUCCAUUCCCUUCUCUCUCACAAUCUUCUCUCUCACAACUCACACAUCUAACAAAACUUCAUCAGACCUUCUCUCUCGGCGACUCAAGAAUAUCAUGCCCUAGAUCUGCCUCUGAAUCGUUUAUCUAACAACAAAUCUCACAUAUUUUCGAGCUUUUUCUUUCUCAAACACAGUGGUGGUGAUAACCCAGACGAUAGAAGAUGUCGGAUAUGGUGGUCGUGGGUGGAAACCUAGACGGCUGCGGAGGGUGCCUGUAUUUUCUUUCAGCAAUCUUCUGUGGAGUUUGGGUGGCUUUUUUGUCAAGAUCGACUGGUUUGACCGCUCGGGUGCACCGGAAUAACCAGAUGUGUAUCACCUGGAAUGAACAAGCUGGAUAACCAGUCGAUCUCUAAAAAUUUUCAGCAAGUAUCAUCUUAUCUUGCAAGUAUCAUUUGGAAUGAACAAGCUGGACACCCAGUAGAUCUCUACACAAUUUCAACAAGGCAUUGUUCGAGCCCUAGCUUUUUUAUUCUGCAAAAUGUUUGUUUUUUAUUGGUGAGGAAAUUAUUAUAUUACAAACUACUAGGGGUGUGCACGGUUCGGUUCGUUUUUAGCAUUAACCGAAACCGUAACUAACAAAAGUAUUUGAUUGCUGUUUCUAUUCUUUAAAG